AACACAGCCUCUCACAACACCACCAGCUGGUACACUGAUACACAUGGGUUCCUAGAACACUCACCUAGCAGAGGAAGCCUGUACCACAAGGGGCCUGCCCUCCAGAAGAUAAAUCUGUUUUUUGGCGGUCCCCCCUCAUAGGUAUUUAUUACCAUUGUUUUUAAAAUAAUUGUAAGUUGAAAUAAUUUAAUUUGUAAUAAUGACUGUGUUUAAUAAUGGACUCCCAAAAUUUCUGAAAAUGUAACAACUGGCUCUUGCAAACUGGUAUGAACCAGGUCUACUGUAGCAUUGUUAUAACUGAUGUUUCUUUCCACUCAGGCUAAGAAAAGAAAAUCUUAAUCUUCAAAACACUUUGAGAUAGCCACAAAAAGGUUUAUAAUUUAACUGAACAAGCUGAAUGUGUGUGAGCUUAGCCUUUACUGUUAUUUUGCCAGUAAUUUUAAAACCUCUUAAACCUGUCAUAUGCAAAAAUAUACUGUACAUAGAUUACCUUGGAAAUAACAGUCAUGGACAAUCAACUAAGAACACAACCUAAAUGCACUUGGCAUUCUUUUGGUCAGGCAACUAUGCCAAGAGGUAUGAGUCAUUGGCUUAUUAAACAAUGAUCCUGUCUUUUUUAAACUAUGGAAUCUUUAUACAGGAAACCAGGUCAGAAUAUAUUUUUUCAGCCAUAUUUAUUUUUGUGUUUAACCAUAAUGUCAGCAACAGUUAUUCAUACAAAAGGACAACCAGGCACUCUAAUCAGUGUGUAGAAAUAGGCUGUAUAGGCAAGGAAAGCAAGAACUCAAAACAAAUUCUUAUGGGAGACAUGGGUGGUGGUGGACCGGAGCCCAGCAAUGCAUUUAUGAAGGAGAAAAAGGUAAGUUAAAAAACAAAUAAAAGUCUGACUUUAGAACUCUAAUGAUAAAGAUUAUUUUAAUAAAAACUUGGGUGAUUCAUUAACUCCAUAUGGCCUGUUGUUAUUUUUUUUUAAACCUCAAAUCAAGCUUUUCCUUAUAGUAGGAUAGGCCUUUAUUCUGGAGGUAAUCCUGUUAUAGUGAAAAUCUAGAAUUAGCUAAAUGUAGUUGGAUAGCUAACAUUAACAUUAUAUGAAAAAUUAUAGAAUGAGGGAAAAUAGGAAUAUAUUAAAAGGAAUAGGAAUAUAUUUUAAAGUUUGACACUUUAAGAAAUGAUUGACAUUGAUGCUGAGGUUACACAUAGUACUGCUGAGUCUGGGACACACGGCAGACGCUAUCUUGCAACGGGCCGACGGCGACAUCGCCUGGAACUCGAGGUGAGCCGUAGUGCAAACGUGUGUAUGUGAGCACAAGGGACCCUCCCCUGCCCACCCCAAGGUAAUUUCUCACAGUUUGCAGAAAUAUUUGAAAAAUCAAAUAGAAAAAAGAGAGAAAAAAGGAAAAGGAAACCAACUGUUCUUUCCUCAACUUGGUAUCUUUAGUAAAAUCCUCAUCUUGUGGGUGAUUCAAGAGAUUGUCUUCCUGUGGGUCAGAGGCAGUCACUGACUAGGUGUGCUUUCUGCACAGUUCUCCAAUUCCAAAAUCACUCCACCCUCCUUCCUACCACUUUCACCUGUUGAUGAGUUUCCAUUGAUCUAAAAUAAUUCUUCGGAGAAAGGGUGAGGUUAAAAUAAUUCUUGCUAAAGUUUGAAUGACUGGGGCUCAUUAAACCCUCCAAUGAUACCUUACUGUUGUUGAAUAUUAAUCAAAAUUUUAACCCUGGCCAUCAGGUCCUUUGUGAUAUAUCCCUGCUUAUUUUCCUAUUUCUUCCACUUCAUCAUUUAAAAUGCUUUAGCCACUUCUGUCUUCUCUCUGUGCUUUGCAACACCAAUGGCCUUCUGCUCCUGGCUAGCGCCCUUGCUGCUCCUUCUGGCUUGAAUGCUCUCCUCUAACUUACCAGAGCUUCCUAUAGCUAGCUCUUUCUCCUCAUUCAGAUUUUACUCUAAAUGUUACUUCCAAGAAGUUCUUCCUUGAUUACUGUAUUUAGAGCAGCCCUAGUGAUAACUCUCUAGACCACCUUUCUCUUUUAUUGUUUUUUUUUCAUAGCAAUCAUCACCUCUUAGAAUUAUGUCACUGAUUUAUCAUUUGGUUCCUUGUUUGUAUCUACCUUCCUCAUUAGAAUGAAGCAGAAUGAGGGCAAGGACCUGCUCAGUUUUGCUUGCUGCUGUGACACCCCUGACUAGAUCAGUAUCCAACAUGGAGUAAAUACCCGAUAAAUAUUAUCCAAUGAGUAACCGAUCAUUACCAAGUGUUGCCACGUGUUCUAAAAGAGGACUUUAUGUAUCCCGGCAAAUGUAUUUCAAACACGUUAUCUUAACUGUGGAUGUUGUUGAGCAGAGUCCUCAAAUUUCACUGUCAUGACCACUGUUUCUACUCAGAGGCCAGUCUUCAUGGAGGAGAACAUUGAGAUGUAGAGUGAAUAUACAUAAGUUACAGUAGGUAGUUAAAUUUCAGGAUUAUAGUGUUAAAAAGGUACCCAAGAAGUAAGUUUAUCAACUACCUGGACACAAGGAAAUGCCCUACAUGGACUUCAAGGAAAAUUAGCUAAUUGAUUUUAUAUUCUUACAGCUCUAGUAUCUGCAGUUCUCAUCUCUACUGUCAUCGCCCUAGGCCAAAUUAUCAUGGCAAUGUGCACAUGAAUCUGUAUUAUAAGAUAAGAACAGAGAAAGAGGAACUAAGAAAGAGCCAUUCAGUUUUUAAUAUCCUUCUUCCAGUGCAUUCUCAUACUGCAGCUGGAGUGAUCUUUUCAAAAGGCAAGUCCAAUUAUAUGCUAUCCCUCUCUCCUUUAAGUCUUAAAAUAGCUUUUUAUUAUUCUUAAGAUAAAGAUCAAAAGGCUUAGCACGACUUGGAAAACUCUUCAUGAGGUCACCCUUGUCAGAAUAAAAAAUGGUGACAAAUUCCUCUCUACAUCUCUCAUAGAGAGCUGGGGGCUAUGUGCCUCCUUGAAUCCAGGCAAGCUCUCAGCCUGCCUUGAGUGUUAAAAUACAGUGGAAAUGAUGCUCUCCCAGUGUCUGUCCCCAGGCCUUAUGAAACAGACAGCUUCUUCCUCCUGUCUGUGGGAUCACUCCCUCUUGGAACCUUGAGCCACCAGGUUGGAAGUCCUGAGACUGCCAUGAUGGAGAGGCCAGGUGUAGACAUUCUCAUAAACCGCAUCAGCUGAGGGAAGAAGAUAGAAGGCCUGGAGAAACUGUGGAUGGAAGCUGGGAGGACAGAGAAAAAAAUGUCCUUGGAGACUAGAAGAAAAUGCAACUUCUGUGAUGUAGUGGCAGAGAGUUUGGCAACACUAUGACCUGUACUAUUAUGGAAAGUAGAAACUAUACUUAGUGAAUUCUUAAUUUUUGUGAGAUUUCCAGACAGAAUCUUUAAAAGUACCAAUUCAUUGUUUAAAAUAAUGGCAUAUAACUAAAUAUAAAGAUGAGUUAAAAAAGAACUGUUCAUUUUUCAAGAAAAAUUAAGAGAGAAGGUAGAGCUAGUACUUGUCAGUAUAAAGAAAAAUGUAAAAAAGUUUCACGUUUCUAGCCUUUUUAAAGGAAAAGUUCUCUCAAAGCAAGAAAUCGAUAGGGUGAAAGUCAUCAUGUGGGUGUGGUUGUAUGACCUUUAUACAUGAUUUUAGAAAGAUUGAAGUGUGUGCCUCAUAAGCUAGUGAAGAGACCCAAGGGCUUCUAAGAACCCCGAGGGUGUUGUCCCACGGUGGCCUGACUCUGAGCCCAGGCCGAAGAAGGACCUAUAUCGAAGAGAAUUGUGGAUGUGUGUUUUGUCAAAUGGAGUGAAGUUUAAUAAGAUGCAUAGGAAGCCCACAAAGAUUUUAAGAGAAGUAUAUUAGUGGAAACAUUAUUAGCAUGGACAAAAAUCAGCAGAGGUAGUUCGAAGUUAAAGAGUCUUUAAAGCCCCCAAGCUUCUAUGGUCAGGAAAUAGGCUGAGAAGAUCAUUCAGUUGCAAAUACCAUGUCUUAUGGACUAUGGACUGAAUUGUGUCCCCCGACCUCCCCGCCAUUCAUAUGGUGAGGUCCUAACUAAUCUCCAAUAUGAUGGCAUUUGGAGAUGGGGCCUUUGAGGUGUAAUGAAGCUUGAUAAGAUGAUGAGAGUGGCACCCCCACGGUAGGAUUAGUGCCCUUAUAAGGUGUUGUUCUCUUUACACAUAUGCACCUAUAAAAGGCCACGUGAGCACUCAGUGAGUGGUGGCCUUCGGCAAGACCGGAAGAGUACUCACCACCACCUGACAAUGCUGGUACCCUGAUCGCAGACUUGGGAGAAAAAAAGAUCUGUUGUUUAAGCCACCUAGUCUAUGGUAUUUUGUGAAGGCAGCUUGAGCUGACUAAGAUAUAAUGCAAAUAAGAUAACUCGAAAGGUGCAACCAAGAGUUUGGAAGGUGGAGACAAGAGCUGCAGAGAAUCAUUCCUGGAGAGCGGGACUGGGCCCUCCAGUCAAGGAACUGGCAAGGCAUUAAUUUCAGAGUUGCUAUGGUCCAGCGAUUGCUGUGUGCCCCUCAUUCCUCCACUCCUCGAAUGAGGGUGCCCAGUGCAUUGAUGUCACCUCUGCAUCAUUAGUAUGUGCUGGGUAUGUGUGGAGCAGAUACUUUCUCAUUUUAGUUCAUGAAUUUUCAUAUUGAGAGAAACUAUACUAGAGACCUACAUCAAAGGAGCUUCAUCAACACCUGGACUUUAUUUAGAUUUGUAAGAAUCUGAAUCUCAAACUUGAACUUCAUGCCAUAAAGAGGUAAGAUUUUUGGAGGGCUUUAGAAGUAUAUUUUGCUUUACAGAGAAAGCUAAAUACUUUGUAUACAGAUUAGAGGGUGAAGCAUUGCUGAGCAAAAAUGGCUACAAAUUAAUUGAAACUGUUCCAACUGAGAGAUGACAUCUCUCAUUCUCUGUGAUCUGGGAGGGUUCUGUGGCUGCUUUGACCGAUAUAGUGAAGUGAUGCUCUGCUAGUAUGUGGACCCAGACCUUAAGAUUUCCUGUCUUUUGGACAUUGUCCUUGGAAGCUGAAAUCCUGGGGGUGCCACGUAUGGUAUGGGUGCUCUGUUUAACGGUCUCCUCUGAGCCUACACUCCCAAACAUUGAAAUAAAGGCGACAGGCAUGUGAAUAAUGUCAUCCUGGACCACCUAGACCAGUCCAACCUCCAGCUAAGUGUGGAAUGAAAGAAUCACUCAGCUGAACCCUGCGGAAAUUCUUGACCCGUACCAUCACAGGUUAUAAUAAAGUAGUUGUUUUUAAGCUGCUGACCUACACUUUGGAGUAAUAUGUUACAUAUGCCAGAUAACUGAAACAGUUACCUGUGCUUAAUUUCUCGGACCUCACAUUGCAUCUAAUCUCUUAGCUCUCUACUCCAGCCAUAUUACACUUUUGGGUCUCUGAAUAUUAGCACAACAUUAACAGCAACAUGAACACUAACAUCACCUCACCCUUCUUGACCUUUCAGCUCUUAGCUUAUAAGCAUUUUCUCAGGAAAUUUCUCCUUGACCCUCUAGAGUAGUUUCAUUAUUAAAGCAAAUUCUGUCAGAAACAAAACAAAAACUGUAUUUCUUUCUUUCAGAGCAAUUAUCUCUGUGAUUAUUUCACUAAUGCCAGUCUCCACCUUUAGACUAUAAACUCCAGGAACAGAGAGUAGGACUUUUUGAUCAUCAGUGAAUUCCCAGAGUCCAGGAGUGUGUCUGGACAAAGUCCUCAGAACUAGCUUGCCACCUUGCACAAGAAUAUCCUCAGUUUAAGAAGUUAUGACAAACAUAAGUCCACCAUAAGUCAGAAAUACCCCAUAAUAUUCAAUACAUUAAUAUUUGUACAGCAUCUUUGGAUAUUUCUAGAGCAUUACUGAACAAUGGCUGACAAAUACAAGUGCUAGAUAAUUGUCUGUGAAAUAAAAAUAAAUCCUCACUAUAUUGCACAACCCCAAUCUUUAAUUCAUACUAGUUUUAGGGUUCCAAGCCUUCCACAUAUUUUUCUUAUUUGGCGCUGCAUCUUUACAAUCUUCCAUAGAUGAAGAUGUAAAAAGUGAAUACUGUUCAGAAAGAUUAAUCUUUUUACUGCUGAGACAAGAUAAUCAGAGUGAGAUAAUUUUAACCGACUUCUGACUUUGAAGUGUAACUUGGAAUGGCAUUCAGACAAGUACAAAGCCAUAUUCAGACUUACACAAAAUGCAAUGAGUGGAUGAAUGGAGAGAUAAAUGGUGGAAUAAUCACUAACAAUGGUGCAAAAUUAUGUAUCCUGUGGGAGUUUGGAAAGAUAUAUCCUUUCUUAAGGAGAGAUGAGACUUAGCAAUGGGCCCUCUAAUGUGAUUUCAAAAGGCAUAGGGCCAUCGAUGAGCUAAUGGGGCUGGCAGAGCGCACUCCGGCUUUUUGGGCAUUCCAGCACAUUCCAAGCAAACCUGGCAACUGAUAACUUCCUGGACAGCUGUUUCUCCUAUUUAUCCCCCCAAUUCUUUUUUGUUAGUUGUCAGUUAAGUUUUUAUGUGAAUGCUAUAUCCACCCUGCAAAAACAAAUUUUUCUUAGAGGUUUUUAUUUUCAUUGGCAAAUGAUUUGCA